UUCAUUCUUGAUGUCAGUUGUUUGUUCAUAUAAUGAUGAUGGGCCCCAUUGUUAUAUGGAAUAUCAACUGAUAAUCAAAGAUGAUCAACUCUGCACUAAACAAUCUUUAAGUGAUGAUAUAACUGGGGUAUUGAAGUCCCUUUUCCUUUCCUCGAAGCUGUUUCUAUAAAAGUGACGAUAUAGACUACUAUUUCCACUCAUUUGUUCUGAUCUUGAAAGAAUAUGGAAAAUAAGCUACAAAAGAAGAUGGAAAAUGUUUGGUUAUAGAGCGGCAUCAACAAUACAAAAGGUGUUGUGAUGUCAAUUAAAGAAAUGUUAACAAUUGCAAAAGAGUCACUUUAACGUUGUAAAAAGAAAGAUCCAACAUGGAUGUAGUUGUGAAAGUCCCUUUGCCACCUGUGUCCUUCGCUUCAAUUACUCUUACUAGUUUUUCAUUACGAAUGUGUCAUGGUGAUUCAUGGCCAAGAUUGUUUAUGUGUAUUUUGAUUCAUUCUUGAUGUCAGUUGUUUGUUAUAAUGAUGAUGGGCCCCAUUGUUAUAUGGAAUAUCAACUGAUAAUCAAAGAUGAUCAACUCUGCACUAAACAAUCUUUAAGUGAUGAUAUAACUGGGGUAUUGAAGUCCCUUUUCCUUUCCUCGAAGUUGUGUUUCUAUAAAAGU